GAUCGAAGGGCGCAUGGGGGAUGCCUUGGCUCUCGGAGGCGAGGAAGGACGUGACAAGCUGCGAUAAGCCACGGCGAGGGGCAAAUACCCAUUGACCCGUGGAUCUCCGAAUGGGGCAACCCGGCGGGAGCGAUCCCGUCACCCUGCAGAGCAGGGGGCGAACGUGGGGAACUGAAACAUCUAAGUACCCGCAGGAAGAGAAAGUAAUAACGAUUCCCCAAGUAGCGGCGAGCGAACGGGGAGGAGCCCAAACCGGCGGUGUCGCAAGGCAUGUGCCGGGGUUAUAGGACCGACAUAACGGACCAAGGAUUCUAGUGGAAGCGCAUGGAGCGGCGCGCCACAGCGGGUGAGAGCCCCUUACACGAAAGGAUCCGCGGAACAGGUCGGCACCUGAGUAGGCCGGGACACGAGAAAUCCCGGUUGAAUUGUCGGGGACCAUCCCGAAAGGCUAAAUACUACCGAGAGACCGAUAGCGAACGAGUACCGUGAGGGAAAGGUGAAAAGCACCUCGGACAGAGGAGUGAAAGAGACCCUGAAACCAUGCGCCUACAAGCGGUCGGAGCCAUCCCGUAUGGUGACGGCGUGCCUUUUGCAUAAUGAACCUGCGAGUUGCCGUCGGCGGCGAGGCUAAGCGGUUAGGCCGCGGAGCCGGAGCGAAAGCGAGUCCGAACAGGGCGUAUAGUCGCCGGAGGCAGACGCGAAACCGAGUGAUCUACGCAUGGGCAGGAUGAAGGACAGGUAACACUGUCUGGAGGUCCGAACCGGUAAGCGUUGAAAAGCUUUCGGAUGACCUGUGCGUAGGAGUGAAAGGCCAAUCAAACUCGGAGAUAGCUCGUACUCCCCGAAAUGCAUUUAGGUGCAGCCUCGGGGUCAGUGCCGCGGAGGUAGAGCGACCGAUAGGAUGCGAGGGCUUCGCCGCCUAUCAAGUCCUGACGAACUCCGAAUGCCGCGGCAUGAUCCCCGGGAGUGAGGGCGCGGGUGCUAAGGUCCGCGUCCGAGAGAGGAACAACUCAGACCACCGUCUAAGGCCCCGAAAUCCGGGCUGAGUUGAAGGCAAUAACGAGGUGGGGCCGCAGCGACAGCUAGGAUGUUGGCUUGGAAGCAGCCAUUCAUUUAAAGAGUGCGUAACAGCUCACUAGUCGAGCGGCCCCGCGUGGAUAAUAAUCGGGCAUAAGUCCGGUGCCGAAGACGUGGACUCUGUC
rnacentral:rRNA from 1 species